rnacentral:tRNA from 1 species
UAAGAUAUAGCAUAUACAAUGCUUUUCAUUUACACUGAAAGGAGAGUCUGAAAUAGAUUUAUCUUAA